rnacentral:snRNA from 1 species
UCUCUUGUGCUCGGGCAUGUACUGUCGCCAGUGAGGUUUCUACCGAGGCACAGUUUUUUUGCUGAUUGCAAAUUAUACAUCCGAACCCGUCUGUUAGCUUCGGCUUCCAGCAAUUUUUGGAAACCCUUCUU